rnacentral:rRNA from 1 species
UACGAGUGCUCCAAGCGUUAUCCGGAAUUAUUGGGCGUAAAGGGUGUGUAGGCGGUUAUGUUAGUCUUCUGUCAAAACCUUCGGCUUAACCGAAGAUCUGCAGAAGAAACGGCAUGACUCGAGGAUGCGAGAGGUGAAUGGAACUCAUGGAGUAGGGGUGAAAUCCGUUGAUAUCAUGGGGAACACCAAAUGCGAAGGCAAUUCACUGGCGCACUCCUGACGCUGAGACACGAAAGCGUAGGUAGCGAAUGGG